AGUUGGUGGGGUGACCCGUCUGGUUAAUUUCGAUAACGAACGAGAUCCGAGCUGUUUAGUUGGCUGCGUCUGUCAAGGCAGGCGUACGUCUCCUAUAUGGACUUUCAGUUUGAGGCUGAAGGAAGUUUCGGGCUAAAUCAGGU
rnacentral:rRNA from 1 species